GGAAAAGCUGUUGCGCAAAUGUUGACGUUUUUGCAUCAUUUGUAGCCCAGUUGGUUCGAUAGGGCUGUAUAUAAAUGUUGUCCAGUGGGCGACCAUCUCCCUCUACAGUUGUGAGUAUGGUGUCCAACCGGUUAGCUAGCACAAGGCAGUUUAUAUUGGGACAGUUGAAUCUGUUCAGCCUUUGUUCCUUUGCGUACGGCCUUGCGUAGCAUCGCUCUCCGCUGAACAUAAUUUUGGACACCGUUUUAUUCCAAAGGAAUUCGUUAAUCAUCUACGGAAUAUCUUGGAUCAAGGCUCAAGAUGAUACUGAAUGUAAAACAUAUCCUGUGGUUAUACUGCCUGUGUCAAACUGUAUCUGGGUUUGCAGUAAGGUUUCACCCCAGUCUUCAAGUGAUGCAGACUGCACCAAGUCAGUGACUGUGAGCCCACAGCCCUGCUCUCCUAGCAGGGUGAGGUCAGCCCUGUGCUAGGCAACAGUUGGCAGCUAGAGCCUCAGGUCCUUGGCCCUAUCUCUGGGUACAGACAGGACACCUUUCAAGCCCAGGUCCCAGUCUAGAUUCGGCUAAAACAGCUGGAUUCACAUCUCAGCACUAAUAAGUCCCUCUGUUUAGAGCCCUGGCUCAUGCCUUUAGGGGCUGUCCCAC
ensembl:lncRNA